AAUGCCUGAAGGAAGGGCGGGGUGAGAGCCAUGCAGACACCUAGGAAGAGAGCCAAGGGGCAGAAAGCUGAAAUGUACUUGGCAGGGCAGAAACAGGAAGGAGGCCAGGGUGUCUGGAGCUGAGAGAUGGAGAGAGAGGAGCAAGACGUGAGAACAGAGACAUAACAGAGAGCCUGAGGCAGGAGCACAGCGUUUCAAGGUGGAAGAAUUGAUCGAUACUCGCUAAUGCUCUGAGAGGCCAAUUAAGAUGAGAACUGAGAACGGACCCUUGAAGUUCAUACCUUGGAGAAAUCACAGCCUGUUUUUAUGCUGCUAGGAAUGGAUCCAGCAGAAGGAAAAAAAAAAUCAAUGACGCACAAGAGGAAAGGGGCAGCUAUCCAAAGAAAGCACAGGCCAUGUUUGUCUUUGAACGCAGUCAAGUUCCCUCCACCACCACCCUCGGGGUAAUGCUUGUUCCAAGUGAGAAAACGGAUGCCCAGAGACUCACUGUCCAGAGUGACCACCGAAGCCUAGUUUCAUCAUUGCUCCUCCUGUGCUCAGAGUCCAGUUUUGCUCCCCUCUCCUCUCUCCUGCCUCUGUGCUGCUGCCAUUCUCCCUCAGACUUUCCCUUCCUGGAAGCAAGGCCACUGAAAAGGCUGAGCCUGGAAACCCGAGAGCGCCAAGUGCAGCCAAAGGAACCAAGGCUGUCUCUUCUAGAAACCACGACAAAGUCUCUGUUUCUCUUUGGCUUGAAACAAACAUGGCAGAACCUUGUAUUCUGAUUGGACAAAGCUAACCCAGAGGACACCCCACUCCCCCAACAGGACAAGGGAACCCCCUAGAACAAUUGGACUUGAAGCCAAGGAGAAUAGCAGCCCUGUUCCCAGAGAAACUGAAGUGGCUACAAGGAGGUUAAUGAACGCUAGAGAGUGAACCAGCAGGUGGACACUACGUUGUCAAAGCUCACCGCAACAAGUAAAAUACUUCUUUCCCAGUGAUCUCAUACAGGUACUUGGUCUUAGGUGAUAUAAAUAUCCAGGAAUUUUCGUGGCAACUUUCAUUUUUGUAUAAUGAAUAUGAAU